rnacentral:rRNA from 1 species
UGCGCAGGCGGCGCUUUAAGUCAGAUGUGAAAUACCCGGGCUUAACCUGGGGGGUGCAUUUGAAACUGGAGCACUUGAGUGCAGGAGAGGUAAGUGGAAUUCCUAGUGUAGCGGUGAAAUGCGUAGAUAUUAGGAGGAACACCAGUGGCGAAGGCGACUUACUGGACUGUAACUGACGCUGAGGCACGAAAGCGUGGGGAGCAAACAGGAUUAGAUACCCUGGUAGUCCACGCUGUAAACGAUGGAUACUAGGUGUAGGGGGCGAUAGUCCUCUGUGCCGCAGCUAACGCAAUAAGUAUCCCGCCUGGGGAUACGAUCGCAAGGUUGAA